AAUUUAUAUAUAUAUAUAUUAUUUUUUAUCAAUAUCAAGGAAAGAAACUUCUAUCUAGUAAAGGCAUCGGUAUUGCAGUGUUUGCAGCAUGAUUGAGUUAACCAAGUGCAGAGACAGAGAAGAAAAAAAAAAAAAAAGACAUGGCUGUAGGGUAACUGAGACAGCUGCUUUAUAUCUUUCUCUCCGUUCUCUGAUUAGACUUCGACGAAAAACAAACAAAGCACAAAGAAACGUUUGUCAGACUGGCCAUUAUUUCUUUGAAUUAACGGAAAGUUUCUACGUGACUGUCUUAACUCAAGAAAUCCUUCUUUCCGAAAGCUAGAAAUCGAUUGUUAGAAUCUCCCUUAUAAUCGAUCUCGAUCUGGCAGGAAAUCGAAUAAAAACAAAAAAAAUUACUUUUAUUUAUAUCUCAUCUGAUAGAGAUCUGAGAGGAAAUAUCCCGCAGAUCUCUAUCAGAAAAAAAAAUAAUAAUAAUAAUUUCCCCGAAAUUUCGUUAAAAAAUGAAUUGCGUUAAGUAUUUCCGAGUACAAACAAUCGAUAACGAAGCGAAAUCGAUUACUGAAGCGACGCGACAGACGUGCAUUUGAGUGACUAAGUAAUCGAUUUGAGCGUUUGCCUAAUCGAUUUCAUCUUUUAAUCGAUUUCCUACAGACCACACCAUUUAGCAGGAAACACGCUAAAUCACCUAAUCGAUUUCAGUACACUCGAAAAAUCGAUUUUACCACUGAAUCGUCGGGAUCGAUAUUCCGACGUGGAGAGAAAGAGAGUGGAGAGGAUAACAGAGAGUGAUAUGGUAGCCUUAUUUAUAGCCAAUACCGAGGUGGUUUAAUUUUCUAACUUAACGACGGACGGCCAUCAUCCAUCUAUGGCCGUUCUUGGCUAUCUACUAAGUAUUUUAUUCCUCUGACCGAGUGGUAAUUGUGGCUUACCUCCGCCCCCGGCCGGAGUGUCAACACCACCUGUGUCGACGGUCGGGUGACGAUUUGUGGACUACAUUGUUCUAAUCUGACGUCACAAUCAAUGAGACGUGUACUACAAGAAAACACAAUCGUAAAUACCGGGUUUAUACCUAUUUAACGAGGCCACAUCUUCCUUAUUACGGCCGUACUUCCCGAUGAAUAAUAAUAAAUCGUAGUGAGACCAUUCUGAAGGGGGUUUAGUAGCUUCCAAAGAUGUACAAACCGAUAUGGUAAUAUGAUCCAGAAACGAACUUUACGAUUAAGUCGAUCUUUUACCGCAUUGCGGCUCCCUCUUCUCUUGUUCUAUUUUCUUCCAUUAAAGUUUUUCUUUUUUGUUUUUCUUCUUUUUCGAAAUAAACAGGUUUCAUUACUCUGUUUAGAAUCCGUAGGUUUUCUUUUCUGUUUUUUUCUUUCUUCCCCCUUUAUGUCAGUCUAGUAGAAAUGAGUUUUUUUGGGUGUUUUUUUUUUUUAUAUUAUUAUUCUGCAUGGAGAUGACGUGUAGAAAAGUUGGCAAGGUUCAACCUGUUUUAAUAAAACGGGAGCGCCAGCGUGUGCUAUUUGGGGCAUUUCGUGUCGUUACCGAAAGAUAGCAGAAGGUGCAAAACCGGAUAUUUAGCAGAAAAUUUCCUAGAAAAAACCAGAUAUGCAGAUAUGACUAAGAAAUCGAAUAGAUGAAGAAUGAACGAGCGUAGAAGUAGCAGAAAAAAGGAGACAAAACAGGAAAUAAAGCGCAGAGUUGCGGAACAGUCUUCAGUUCUUGACGUAAUUGUCGGGGCGUAACAACAAAAGGGCGAGAGGAAAAAAAAUAGUGUCUUGACUCAUACAAUAUCCGGUUUCAUUGUCAGAUUUUUAGCAGUCGUUGCAGUGUUGAUUUGUUAAUCCGAAAGGAAAUAUUUCUGCCCCAUUAUGAAAUCACUUCCUGACUUGUAGACCUCACUCUAGUCGCCAGUUAAAGGGGAUUUAAAAAUAAUAAUAUAUUCUUCGAACAGGUUUAAACGAGCGGUAAAUUCUAUUUAAAUUUUAAUAAUUUCCGACUUUAAAUUGUUGAAAUUCCAUCAGUAGAAAAAAAAAGAAUGAUUUACUAACUGUUUGCGUAAUCGAAAGCAAACCGCGUAUGAAUUAAUCUUACCUAACGGGGUGGCGGAAAACGGAAAAAUGGGAGUCGUCGUCGUCGUUGUAAGAAAAAUCGAUUAAUCCGAUUUUCUGAAGAGAUCUUUUAGAAGAUUAAUUCGAACCAGCCGUGCAAGAUACAUAAAUAUGAGAAUUUCUGGCAAAUGGCUUUGGAGAAAUAAGAUGGGAAGGUUUUAGGUCGUUACGCGUCAUCUCCGCAUAUCCGGGGAUCAAGGUUGUCUUUUAUUCUAGUGAUUAGGUCCUAGGACACGUUCGGGGCUAUUAAAGUUUAUAAUAUACGAUUGCAUCGAUACGGCAUCAACUUAAUGAAAACUCGACCGAGUUAAUCGCUCGGAACACCCAGAUCCCGUAUUACUGAGUAAUGGCCACGGUUAUGGCCCAAAAAAUCCCACAGCUUGCUUAAUUCAUUCUCCCAUCGCAUCUCUCCCUCCAUUUCUCCUCCUCUUCUUCCUCCUCCCGCAUCUUAACCGUAAUUUAUAAGUUUAGAGAAUCAACUCGGGGACUUAAAUUAAAUUGUCGUGUGCCGGCGGCUUUUCUUCUUCUUCCAUCCGCAACCCACAAAUAUCGUUUUCUUUUCGUGUUUUUCCCGUGACCAUCGUUGGAAAGGAGUAGUAAAUCCGCACCGGAAAACAUCCGACACCUUUAGAUUUUGAUAAGAGAGGUGAGAAGCUGCGAAAGCUUUAUUCCUGUUUUUUUCCCCUUCUUCUUCUUCUUUAUAUAUUCCCUCCUCACCUGUCAAGAUAUCCUCUAGACGUUUUUUCU
rnacentral:lncRNA from 1 species